rnacentral:lncRNA from 1 species
UACAAACGUAGUUAAAAAAAAAAAAAGAAAAAGUCAGUCUUUGUGAGUUUACUUUGCAAUUUAACGAAGACUGGCUUUGGACCCCUGGGAUGUUGUUUUCCAGAAGGAAGACCACUGAAGCCACCGCAGACAGCAGAACCUCAAUCAGCUUGAAAGAGAAUGGGCUCAACAAAAGAGCAAACUGUCAACAGUGAUGAUGAGGUGCAACAUUCAACUUCACAGUUCUUGGAAUCACAGACCUGGAGGAGUGGACUUCCUGGGAUGAAGAUGAGCCCACUAGUGCAUCGAAGGAGGGAAUGGGAUUGUGGCAACACAGCAGAACUCUUUGGAGCAACUGGAACCUGACUACUUCGAGGCCAUAACUCCAACUAUACAGAAAACUCAGAAAAUUGUCAUUAAGAAGAGAGAACCAUUGAAUUUUGGUGUCCCAGAUGGUAGCACAGGUUUUUCCAGUAGAUUGGCAGCUGCACAAGAUAGGCCUUUUAUUCAUCAGUCUUCAAAAUUAGGUGACUUAGAUACGUGGCAAGAAAAUACCAGUGCAUGGGAAGAGGAAGAAGACGCAGCCUGGCAAGCAGAAGAAGUCCUGAAGCAGCAGAAAAUUUCAGACGGAGAGAAGAGACAGCAGAACAACAAAGGAAGAAAACGGAGAAGGAAGCGCAACGCCCUAUAAAGAAGGAGCAAAGCAAAGUCUGUGUGAAGCUUUCCUAACAGGCUUUGUGAGUCUGGGCGCACAGCCUACACGCAAGCAUUUGCAUGCACUGGACAGUAUUCUCAGAAUACAAACACUCUGCUAGAUCUCAGUUUGUUAUUGAGCUAUCCAGGACACCAGGAUUCUCCCAUAAUACCUUGAACUAUUAGGAAUCAAGACUCAAAACACAAAAAUAAUGAGACAAUUAUUUUCUUCAAUGUGUUCCAAAUAGAAGACAAUUGUUUGCUGUAGAGAAGUUAUUUCAAGAGGAAUAUACCUGACAAGUACCUCUCAAGCUAGUGUUUCUAGAUGAACAAAGGGCUGUAAAUAAUUUUAUGGUGGAAAAGUACCCUGCUACUUACUAUGCUUUUGUUCAUUGUACAUAAUUAUAAAAUAAUUUUAAUGAUCAUUUGUUUCCAUGACCGCUUGAUGUAAAUUAGACAAACUGUAGGUAGGGCUUUAUACCCUUCUUAAUUUUGUUUUCAGGUACUGUUGACAUACAUUUUCUAUCAUUUGAACUGGCAUUGUUUGGUACAACAUUAAGGGAUAUGAUGA